UGCAAAUGUGCCACGUCAAGACUGGAAAUCACAGCCCUUUAGUGUGUCUCAGUCGAUGCAGCAGACAGGGUUCAGGGGGGAAGCUGAACAAGCCCCUGGUGCAGGAAGACAGGCUCUCCCCAGCCCCGGGACAGGAUUUUCCACACACCGAUGGAAGCUUCAGGAGAUCCUGCUCCGUCGCCCCAGUGUUCAGACUACCUGUUCAGGACAAUGCCGUUGUACAGUAGUCUGCACAUUGGUUAGACUGGGCAAGGGCCAGCAACGCCAUGGACGGCUGGGGACACAAUGUGCUGCUUCCAAGGAGAGGACAGCUGGGUGCUCCUUUGUUGAAUCUCAUAUCCAGUGUUUCUCUUCACAGGUUUUGCAAACUAGGGACCAAGAAGCCCUCAGGGACUCUGCCAGGGGAGAGGACUGCUCCAGGGAAGACCAGCGGGUAAGGCCUCUGGGAUUGCGUACCUGGUCUGUGAUUGGGGAACUAGAUAGAGAUCCCAUCACCUGUGUGAAGACGCUGGAGACACUGAGCUAAGGGACAGAUAACCGUGAACUUAACUUUCAAAAGAGCAAGGUCGUAUGGUAAAUUGUGAUUUUCUGUGUGUUUUUUAUAAGUCUAAAUGUUGAUCGUUCAAAUGCUUUCUUAAAUGUAAGGGUCUUCCGCUUCAAAAUAAAAGGUGGGGAAAAAAACCUCACUCCAGACAAGUAGCAAAAACUGAACGAGACUUAGUUUUGAAUGGUUGAAACUGAUAAUUCAGAGACUUAAACUCGAGCAUGGAUGAGCUAUGUAUGCAACCUCUAACACUCCAGGAAUGAAUGCAUUUUGCCCUAAAGGAAAAAAAUGCAAUUUUCAAAACUCUUGUAUGAACAGGGAGCUUUUCUGUUUAUCUAUAUAAUAGAAACACCAGAAAUAAUAGUACCUAACGAUAAGAAGCAGUCUAGUCUUUUGUUUUUUGCUUUUUUGUUUUGUUAUUUUACUAUCAGACAAUGCAAACGCACUUAGCCAGAGAUGAGGGCCCAAGUGCCAAACCCACAUCUUACUGACUCAGCAACUUAGCAGGCCAGGGGAAUAGCGCUCUGUCUUUAGUGGGCUCACUAGAUAACAUUGAAAUUGUUCUUUUAAAAUCCAAGAAUGGCUGAUACUUGCUGGUCAGCUGAGCCUGCUGGCCCAUCUUUUUUUUUUUUUUUUUUUUUUUUUUUAACAAGGCUCUCACUUGUCCUGGGCCUUUGAAAUGAUAAGGCACGUUGUCUAAAAAGAUGCUGAUAAAACAGGAAUUUGUAAACGAAGGCAAAAGUUUUCUUUGGUCAGUUUCCAGCUGUCCUGGAGGUGAAGGAGAGUGGGGGAGGUAGGCAGACUGGAAGCAAGAAAACUUCCUCUGGCUGAAUGAAAUACUGAAAGAGAAAAUACUAGAAGAAUCUGGGUCACUAAGUAAGCUGGGAGGUUUGUAUUGAGCAUCAGCGGUGGCUCCGUUAAAGAAAGUUCUGGGAGAAAAUGUUGCUGCUGUACCCAUAAAGUCUCGCCUUUCAUUUAUUUUCACCCCUGGAAAAUUUCAUUCCACAUUCUAUGGGAUGAAAUAUUAUCUGCUCAUUGAGCUUUCUGUGCAAAACGAAUACACUGUCUUUUGUCUUUUAAAGUGUGAAUCUUUGUCUAAGUUACACAUUCUCCAAUAACCCAAAGGAGAGUGCAAACUCUCCUUAGUAAAAUACUAUAGUAUAGCUGCAUCUCUGAGUUUUCUUCUUACAAUUUUUAUUUUUAAAAAAUUAUGCUUCAUAUAAUCCCAAAACUGGUAUCUUGGUCAUAAAAUUUUCUGAUGAAUUAUGGCAAUUAAGUAAGAAAUAUAGCGGGGGACAUUUAACUGCUUGUCACUUAGGUGAAACAGGCGAGGCACCAUUCAUUGUUCUGUGAGAGUUGAAGAAUCUUAAUUAUUUUUAAAAGAAGAGUUGAGAUUAUAUAUAUAUACACACAUACAUAUCACUUUGUUUGCACAGGAAAUUAAAAGCACUAUUAGUUCACUUAUGGAAGUUGUGUGUCUCAGGAAACACACUUUCUUGACUAACGCGUCACGAAAGAGGACAGAGAAGAAUCACUUGGAUCAUAUUUAAGAUUUCUCUAAUUUUGAGGGCCUAUUGUAUACUAGAAAUAAUUGAAUUUUAUAACUUGCCUUUAUUUAAUGAUAUUUAAUUUAAAAUUUUCUCUUCAUAUUAAAUGCAUUUUUUUUAAUUUCAAGAAGAAUAACCUUUCUUCACAGGUCCCUUCCCUAUUUCUCCCAUGGGACAGUUUUUAGUCUGAAGAUACAAAGGGCAUAAGGGUGAUUCUCCUGUAAGUUCAACAGUAAAAAGUAACAAUUUCUUUGUAAACCCGGAGUCUCUGCCUGUUCUUGGUUGGAGUUCUAACACACCAUUUUCAAGGAAAAUUCUAAAUGAAUGAAGGAGUGUGGUACUUAAUUUUAAAUGUAUGAGUUAUAUUAAAAGUACAAAAAAGUUGUUUGAUAACCCUCUGCUGUAUGAAGACAUGGUGUUAAGCCUGUGUGCUGGUGGAUAUAUCCCUUAUAGACACUUUAGGAUAAAAAUAAAGAUAUCGAUUCCAAAAUAAUUAGAAGAAUGUCUAAUUUUAUUCCAAUAUUACUUCCAAAGAGGAUAUACAAAUAUUUUAGGGAUGGUGGAAUCUAGGGCAGAAGAGAGUAACCAGCAGCAAACAUCUUGCUCUGGAUAGUAUGGUAAGUCUAAAUAGAAAAGUGAAACAUUGUAGGUGCUCAUAAAAAGGAAACUGUUUGCAGGGUUUGUCCAACCUUAACGUUAGUGAAAAUUGCACCCUUGUUUCUUAUUUCAGAGAAUCAAUGAUGGAUAAGCUAGGCUAGGUACUGAAGUCAAAAAGAUUUUUUUCAACCAUCAGAGAGAAAGGAAAUUCUAAGCUGCAACCUCAACUCCAUCACUUCAGAGUCUAAUUUCUCAAAACAAGGUUUUUUGAUUUUUUUUUUUUAACCAUAGAUCUCAAAAUCAAGGAAAGUUUGUUUGUACGGAGACAAAGUGUGUCACAGAUCGCUCUCGUCCAAUUAGUUAACAUGCUAGCCCUCCUUCCUGCUUGCCCUUGAACCUUUGGCUAGGAGAAGGUAUUUGUUUUUAAAAGACAAUCUCCCCCACCUUUUGCCUAUGGACCACCCAAGUAUUUCACUCCACGGGAAAGAGAAAGCUUAGGCAUAAAAGAUACUACGAAAAUAAUGUGCCCUCUCCCCCUUGUUGGAGUCUAAAGCUGAUAUGGGAAAAAGAAACUGCAAGUUGUUUAAAAAGUUUAAAGAGUCACUCAUCCACAAAUGUUCAUUAUCACUGAAGGAAGCUUAUCAUCCAGUGAGUCUGUAAGGGAACUGCUCUUUAAAAUCAACCUUUUCUCUUAUCUCAUGACAAUAGCCUACCCACCACCAUGAUGUCCAAAUAGUAACUAUGAGACCAUCAUAUAGAGAUCCCAGCUUAAAAUAAGCAAGGGGGAGGGGGGCAGACUCUAGCCUGAGGCAAGUGAAGGUUGAAACUUCCCAAAUCUUUCUUUCUUUUUUUUUUUUUAACCUUGGUGUCCUGCAGAUGAUGUCCAUGUAAAUAUUUAGCCUCUUUUCAAAGGACUUAAUACUGAGUUUCCUUUUUUUUUUUUUUUAAGUCAUCUGAGUUAAAGAAAAUCAUCAAGUCUUUACUUCAUAUCUUCUGACUUCUUGUGAAAGCCAGUUUAUUACAGUUGGUGUGGUUCAAGUUUCCUGCUGGAUGUUUAGGAGAGAAUUAUUUUCUUACAUUUCUGUCUUGGGACACGACACCAUCAACACAUUAUCACAGACUAUGACAACUACAUAUUAAUGUUUGCAUCUUUUAAGUAGUCACCAAAUAAGUAUGGCUUGGGAAUGCAAGGUGGCGGGAGUCUUUCUGACUUUUUUAACGUGUCUAGAGCAGGUUUAAAUUAUAAAUUAUAAUUAUAAUAUUAAAAAUUAUGAUCAUGCUACAUAUUCACUAUAAAUAUUUUUAAUCGAUCAAAAAAUAAAUUGUCCCCAAAUCUCAUGAAUAAAAUAAUUAUUCCCCCUGCCACCUUAUUUUGAUUAAUUUUUCUCUUCAGAAAAGCCAUUAUGAUAGUUUAGCCUCAAACAUUUUAGAUAGCAUGGUAUAAAUAAAACUGCUUCUUACUGAAGGAUAACACAUGGACUCACUGUUUUUUGUAUUUUUCAGGCUGUACCGUUCCUUUACUUGAGCAGAGUAAACUGGAUCAGAUUACUUAAGGGAGAGGGGAAAGCAAUACAGAAUUAUAGUAACUUUUAAUGGCUGCUAAUAUAUUCUUCGUAAGUGAAUCACUCUAUUAUGCUUUUCUGUUGUACUGAAUGAAACAACAAAGGAAAUAGUAUUUCAAGGUAUUCCAUUUUUGUAUACUUGACUUUGUAACUACUUGAAUAGCAGCCAAGCUCUUGUGCUCUGAAGUGUUGGACAGAAGCACACGUUUAUCUUCUUGAACUUAAAGAAGUCCAGAUAUAGUUGCACUUAUCAACUCGGUUAAAAGGAUACCAUCUCUAGGCACUGCACAAAAGUUCAAAUGUGCAGCAAACUGUUCUUUUUCUCAUUCUCAAAAAAGAUUUUAUUGUUCAUAAAACUUCUGCCUGCAUUUUUUUUUCUUUUUAGGUUUUCCAAUUAAAGGUAAAUAAGGAAGUAUUUGUUUUCUUUAAAGAUAAUCUCUAAUGUAUACCUCUUGGAUAAUAAUGUAUUUUGUUUUUAAAGAAAUUCCAAUUUUUAGACUUUCAACUCUUUGGCUGUUUUUGUGUUUAAAAUGACAGUGAAGUUGUUAAAUAUCUCUGCAUAUGCAAAUUGACUAAGUAUGUUAAAAAUAGCAGAAUUCCUGACUCAGCAGGAUUGCAGUUUGCUUCUGUGUACUUAACACAAUUAAUUCAGAUUGUCAUUUUGGAUAUGAAGUGAACUUUCCUUUUCUGUGUUUAAGGUCCUACUCUGUAAUGAUAUUGUAUUAACAACAUCAAAAACACAUUCAGAGCACUAGUGUGGGAAAGAACAUUCUAGAUCAUGACUUUGAUUCAUGGUCUCACCCUGCUUGUUAAUCAAGGGGGAUAGAAGCUUAUGAACUCUUUGGUUUUCAUAUGGAUAUUAUAAAAAGAAAAGAAAAAUUUAAAUACAUUUCUGUUGCUUGGAGAGAUAUAUAUAUCCAAAAUCUGUUAGGUGGAUUGCCAGACACUUUAGGCUCAUUAAUAUUUUGAGAAUGGCUGCUGUUACCAUGUAGAUAACAAUAUAUUUUUUCAUGGGCAAGGCUAUGGCACUUACCUACUCUGAAAAACAUGUAUAAACAUAGACUUUAAUUUCACUAUUAAGAGAUGCAGAGGUCUUGUGAAAAGAAAAAAACAUAUGGUUUGAUUACUUUGAAUUCUGACUGCAUGAGGGCCAGUAACAACAGGAACUGGAUUUUAAAAGUUUAUGUUGUUAUUUUUUUUUCCUUAAAAUCAUGUGAAUUUUCUGUUUUUGACAAUUAUCCUUGUUAGCAACAUUUGGAUCAAAUGUAUGAGUGUACUUCUGAAUAAAGCCAAAGCCAAACGUCUAACUUCUUUUUAGUUCCAUAAUGUUUUAAUGUUUAAUUCUAUUGUGUGUUUCUCUCCUUUCCCUUUAUCCCCCUGUCCUUCCCCCCUAAAUCACCAAAUCUGGAAAACAGGCUGAUUGUAUCUGUCCCUGAGCAAAGGAAACCUGAAGGACCCAAGGGCCCUGGCUGGACAGAGUUGUCAUGUGUCUGCCUGUCUACACUUGCUGUGCAGAACAUCCGCUCACCUGUACAGCAGGCACAGACAGGCAGUCACAUGACAACCCAGCCUGAAUGACCACCAGCCAUUGAAAGAAAGCUGCCCUCACAACAUAGCAUUUACACCAAGAGCUACAACCACAGUGAGGGGGUUGGGGGGCCUGGGGUUUGAAACUGUUGGCUUAUUAAAAGAAAAACUCGUAUGUAAUCCUUUGAUUUUUUUUGAUUCGCAUAUUAAAGCCUACCCGAAGUAAAGUGAGUAGUGCCUAUGAAGCCUAAUAAAGCCCAUUUCCAAAAAAAA
rnacentral:misc_RNA from 1 species